UGAAAAGUGUACAGAGUAGAGAAAAAGGG
rnacentral:piRNA from 1 species